rnacentral:rRNA from 1 species
GAUGAACGCUGGCGGCGUGCCUAAUACAUGCAAGUCGAGCGAACGGACGAGAAGCUUGCUUCUCUGAUGUUAGCGGCGGACGGGUGAGUAACACGUGGAUAACCUACCUAUAAGACUGGGAUAACUUCGGGAAACCGUAGCUAAUACCGGAUAAUAUUUUGAACCGCAUGGUUCAAAAGUGAAAGACGGUCUUGCUGUCACUUAUAGAUGGAUCCGCGCUGCAUUAGCUAGUUGGUAAGGUAACGGCUUACCAAGGCAACGAUGCAUAGCCGACUUGAGAGGGUGAGCGGCCACACUGGAACUGAGACACGGUCCAGACUCCUACGGGAGGCAGCAGUAGGGAAUCUUCCGCAAUGGGCGAAAGCCUGACGGAGCAACGCCGCGUGAGUGAUGAAGGUCUUCGGAUCGUAAAACUCUGUUAUUAGGGAAGAACAUAUGUGUAAGUAACUGUGCACAUCUUGACGGUACCUAAUCAGAAAGCCACGGCUAACUACGUG